UAUGGAGUGUAGAAAGAAACAGCCCAACGUGUAACUAAGCUUAUAUUGAGGGCCCAAAUAAACUCGAAUGUGAAAGGGCUGAAUGUACCUUGCAUUUUAGGAAGGAAAGUGGUACCUAUGGAAGGCGAGGACGGCGUCUGCAUCAGUAUUCAGUAUUCAGCUUUUCAAAAGAUGAGAUUAAAGAGGUUAAAGUAACUACAAACAAGACAAGAACAAGAAAGCUUUGAUUGAAAGGAUAAUUUCUACUACUGUAUUAAGAAAAUUCUGCAUGUAUUCACACAAAGUUGUUCAAAAUACAAUGCACAUACAGUAAGCACAAGACUUGACACCAGUUGAGACAUUGAAGUGGAAGCCACAAAGGUUGGUCUCUGGUGGGAACAAAAUAGGUGGAGAAGUUGAGAAGAUGCAUCCAUCCUAACUAUAUUUCUCCUUGUAUCUGAGAAAAAAGAACCUAAACAGGCCCCUCAAAAUUGGGUUAGAUUGCUAUUGAUUAACAAAAAAGUUGGAAAGCAAAAUUCUUUCGAGUUCGAU